UAUGUUUUAUAUAAUAUGCAUAUUGAAUUUUAACAUUUUAAAUAAUUUUCUUAAAAAAAAACUACGCAUUAUUUAAUGAAGCUUUAAACAUUAAAACAUAUGGCAUAUGGCGAUCACUGACAUAUUUAGGUUCUUGUUACAUUAUUUUAUUAUAUUAUAUUAGUUGUUAUUAAAUCAAUAGUGUGUUGUGAACAUUGUUUAUUUUGUGCUGAGGCAGUAUAGUAUAGAAACACUUAGCUUAUAAAAGAAAUCGAGAAGUAAAAUUUUAUUUCAUUUACUGUUCUACGUUCUCAUUAUUUUUUCAUUAGUUUCUUACAAUCUUGAACCUUCAUAUACCUUAUACCGAUUCAAAAUGGUUUUCUUCAAACAGUAUUUACUAACGCUUACAUGUAUAGUAAUUGUAGUUCAGGUUAUGCCUGCAUCUGCUACAACGGAUGAAGAAUUAUCACGCAAUGCUUGCAAAGCGAUUUUACUAUGCUGUGGAUUUGAAGGUA